GAGUUUGAUCCURGCUCAGAACGAACGCWGGCGGCGUGCUUAACACAUGCAAGUCGAACGUGAUCCAGARCUUGCUCUGGUGAAAGUGGCGCACGGGUGAGUAACGCGUGGAUAACCUGCCCUGGUAUCUGGGAUAACAUCUCGAAAGGGGUGCUAAUACCGGAUAAGCCUACGGGAUCUUCGGAUUCUGCAGGAAAAGGAGGCCUCUAUUUAUAAGCUUCCGUAUCAUGAUGGGUCCGCGUACCAUUAGCUAGUUGGUGGGGUAAUGGCCUACCAAGGCGACGAUGGUUAGCUGGUCUGAGAGGAUGAUCAGCCACACUGGAACUGAGACACGGUCCAGACUCCUACGGGAGGCAGCAGUGGGGAAUUUUGCGCAAUGGGGGAAACCCUGACGCAGCAACGCCGCGUGAGUGAUGAAGGCUUUCGGGUCGUAAAGCUCUGUCAGAGGGCAAGAAAUGAGUCUGGCUAAUAUCCAGAUUUCUUGACGGUACCCUCAAAGGAAGCACCGGSUAACUCCGUGCCGAGCAAGGCCCCCA
rnacentral:rRNA from 1 species